rnacentral:rRNA from 1 species
GAGUUUGAUCCUGGCUCAGAACGAACGCUGGCGGCAUGCCUAACACAUGCAAGUCGAACGAACUCUUCGGAGUUAGUGGCGCACGGGUGCGUAACGCGUGGGAAUCUGCCCUUGGGUACGGAAUAACUCAGAGAAAUUUGUGCUAAUACCGUAUAAUGACUUCGGUCCAAAGAUUUAUCGCCCAAGGAUGAGCCCGCGUAAGAUUAGCUAGUUGGUGGGGUAAAGGCCUACCAAGGCUACGAUCUUUAGCUGGUCUGAGAGGAUGAUCAGCCACACUGGGACUGAGACACGGCCCAGACUCCUACGGGAGGCAGCAGUGGGGAAUAUUGGACAAUGGGCGAAAGCCUGAUCCAGCAAUGCCGCGUGAGUGAUGAAGGCCUUAGGGUUGUAAAGCUCUUUUACCCGGGAUGAUAAUGACAGUACCGGGAGAAUAAGCUCCGGCUAACUCCGUGCCAGCAGCCGCCGUAAU